rnacentral:rRNA from 1 species
GACAGCCCCCUUAUGCGAAAGCGACCUCCCCUCCUGAGAAGUACCCCGAGUACCACAGGACACGUGUAAUCCGGUGGGAAUCAUGGGGGACCAUCCCCAAAGGCUAAAUACUACUCAUCGACCGAUAGUGGACCAGUACCGUGAGGGAAAGGUGAAAAGAACCCCGGUUAGGGGAGUGAAAUAGUACCUGAAACCGUGCGCCUACAAGCAGCGGAAGCACGUUAAUGUGUGACCGCGUACCUUUUGCAUCAUGAGCCUGUGAGUUACGUUGCGUGGCAAGGUUAAGCCGCAAGGUGGAGCCGCAGCGAAAGCGAGUCUUAACAGGGCGAGCAGUCGCGUGACGUAGACCCGAAGCCCGUGCGAUCUAUCCAUGUCCAGGUUGAAGGGCGGGUAAUACCGCCUGGAGGACCGAACCCACCGCAGUUAGAAAAUGCGGGGAUGAGGUGUGGGUAGGAGUGAAAGGCUAAUCAAGCCGGAUAUAGCUGGUUCUCGU